GAGCUACCUAUAUCAGUUGUACCAAUGUAUUUUGUAUUAUAAUUAUUCUGUGAUUAUUUUUUAUCAGAAAAGUUUUAACAGAAAAAAAGUUAUUUGAUUUCGAAGAAUGUAUAAUUUCAUGUCGAUAAUUCUUUUAUAUAGAUAAUAUAGAAGAUACCAUGACUGUCACAAAAGUUAAUUGUUUAAUUCACCUUCGUCGAAUUACGAAAAAUGACAGCAAUAUGAAUAGAAUUAUAUUAUAUAUUUAAUUAUAUUAUUUUUUACUAUUUUAGAGAUGUCACGUGAUGAGGCUUCUAAACCAAUAUGUCGCAUCGUGUCACGUGAUGUGUUUUGCUCAAUCUAGCAGUGGGGAUAUUGUGACGUCACAUAUUUUUUUCCCGAGGAAAUUCACAGAGGAAUUGAGUUACUUUUAGUAUAUCAAAAUCAGAUAAAUUCUGUAUAAUAUCGUCUAUGUAUUUAACAUUUUUAUAAAGAAAUGCAAUGGACAUAUCGUACGAUCUAAUUUAAUCUUUAAAAAGUAAUAGUGUUAUUAAAAGAUGUUAAAAAGUAAAAAGCGCCAGAUUCUGUUUCAAAUAUUCGCAGCAGAAAUCGAGAACACCUAGGAUAUUCAAAUAAUCGGCAGUGACCAGCAAUUGGCACACGUUCUCAUUGUUCACAUUGAUCGAUCUCAAGUAAGCGUAUUCGAGAAGCAGAUUCAUCAUGUUGCUGCUGACACCGGGCAAGAGUACAUCCGUUUUCUCACAUUUUAUUUUAUAUAAAAUAUUUUAAAGAAUAUAAGGAUAUAAAAGAUAAAAGGAUAUAAAAUAUAAAACUUUUGUUUAAGUGUUUAAUAAAGAGUUAAAGUUAUUAUAAAAAGAAAAUGUCAUUUAAAGCAUAGAUUGAACUCAUACUAGACAAGACCUAAAAUAUGGACUGCAAGCUGAUAAAAUGGCCCGGUGAAUCGGAAAUACGCCUCCAUCCUCGAGUCUCAAGACGGCGUCGCAAAGAAGAUUGUUCUGUCGAAAAUCAUAAAGCGAUUGCAUAGCUUGUGUGCUCAUACAUCGGCCACCACUUUCGGCAAUCAAUCGUUGAGUGUUCGUUUCGCAUAGAUCGAUAUCCCUGCUGUUUUCGUUUGAGUCUACAUCCAUAUCAAAUUUUCUCCAAAUUCGGGUACGAAUCUUGUCGAGGAUCCGCGACGACAAAGGUGGGGAUAUACGUUGCCCGAUUCCGUUUAUACGAUGCUUGAAAAUUUUCUAAACACAUCUUUUAUUUUAACAAUUAACAGUUUCCAUCGUUUAGUUGUCAUUAUUCCAUUGAAUAUUAUAAUUAAUUCCAACGAAUUAUUUCAAAUAAUAUAAUUUUAAGAAUGGCGAUCAUUUUUGAGAAUUUGACUAAAUUGUAUUAAUUUUAUAACUUAUAAUUUUUAUAUAUUUAUAUAUAUUUAUAUAUUUUUAUAACUUAUAAAAAAAAAUAAAAAGAAGGUAAUCCUAAUAAGAAAAAAAUAUAAAA